rnacentral:rRNA from 1 species
UACGGAGGAUGCAAGCGUUAUCCGGAUUUAUUGGGUUUAAAGGGUGCGCAGGUUGUUUGAUAAGUCAGUGGUGAAAGUCUGUCGCUUAACGGUAGGAUUGCCAUUGAUACUGUUAGACUUGAAUAUGGAUGAGGUAGGCGGAAUGUGUAGUGUAGCGGUGAAAUGCAUAGAUAUUACACAGAACACCGAUUGCGAAGGCAGCUUACUAAUCCAUCAUUGACGCUGAGGCACGAAAGCGUGGGGAUCAAG